rnacentral:rRNA from 1 species
GGAUCCAGACUUUGAUCAUGGCUCAGGAUAAACGCUGGCGGCGCACAUAAGACAUGCAAGUCGAACGAACUUAAUUCAAAAGUUUACUUUUGAAAGCGGUUAGUGGCGGACUGGUGAGUAACGCGUAAGCAAUCUGCCUAUCAGAGGGGAAUAACAGUGAGAAAUCACUGCUAAUACCGCAUAAGCUGUGAGGAGCACAUGCUCUAAAUAGAAAAGGAGUAAUCCGCUGAUAGAUGAGCUUGCGUCUGAUCAGUUAGUUGGUGAGGUAACGGCCCACCAAGACGAUGAUCAGUAGCCGGACUGAGAGGUUGAACGGCCACAUUGGGACUGAGAUACGGCCCAGACUCCUACGGGAGGCAGCAGUCGGGAAUAUUGCGCAAUGGAGGAAACUCUGACGCAGUGACGCCGCGUGCAGGAAGAAGGUUUUCGGAUUGUAAACUGCUUUAGACAGGGACGAAAUAAAUGACGGUACCUGUAGAAUAAGCUCCGGCUAACUACGUGCCAGCAGCCGCGGUAAUACGUAGGGAGCAAGCGUUAUCCGGAUUUAUUGGGUGUAAAGGGUGCGUAGACGGAAAGACAAGUUAGUUGUGAAAUACCUCGGCUUAACUGAGGAACUGCAACUA